AACGAACGCUGGCGGCAUGCCUAACACAUGCAAGUCGAACGAGAGCUUAGGAAGAGGUGGCGCACGGGGGCGUAAAGCGGGGGAAGCUGGAGGUAGGCUCGGGAUACCUCCCCGAAAGGGGGGCUAAUACAGGGAAAUGUCUGCGGACAAAAUAUGUGACGCCUUUGGAUGGGCACGCGUUGGCUUAGCUUGGUGGGAGGGUAAAAGCCGACGACGGCGACGAUACAUAGCUGGGCUGUGAGGAUGGUCAGCCACACUGGGUGUGUGACACGGCCCAGAAUCCUACGGGAUGCGGCAGUGGCGAAUACUGCGCAAUGGGCUAAAGCCUGAUCCAGCAAUGCCGCGUGAGUGAUGAAGUCCUGAGGGUUGUAAAGCUCUUUUACCCGGGAUUAUAAUGACAGUACCGGGAGAAUAAGCUCCGGCUAACUCCGUG
rnacentral:rRNA from 1 species